rnacentral:rRNA from 1 species
CAAAGAUUUAUCGCUCGAAGAUGGGCUCGCGUCCGAUUAGGUAGUUGGUGAGGUAACGGCCCACCAAGCCGACGAUCGGUAGCCGGACUGAGAGGUUGAACGGCCACAUUGGGACUGAGACACGGCCCAGACUCCUACGGGAGGCAGCAGUGGGGGAUAUUGCACAAUGGGGGAAACCCUGAUGCAGCGACGCCGCGUGUGGGAAGACGGUCUUCGGAUUGUAAACCACUGUCCCCAGGGACGAAAAUGACGGUACCUGGGGAGGAAGCUCCGGCUAACUACGUGCCAGCAGCCGCGGUAAUACGUAGGGAGCAAGCGUUGUCCGGAAUUACUGGGUGUAAAGGGAGCGUAGGCGGGGAUCAAGUUGGGUGUCAAAACUAUCAGCUCAACCGAUAGUCGCACUCAAAACUGCAGCUCUUGAGUGAAGUAGAGGCAGGCGGAAUUCCUAGUGUAGCGGUGAAAUGCGUAGAUAUUAGGAGGAACACCAGUGGCGAAGGCGGCCUGCUGGGCUUUUACUGACGCUGAGGCUCGAAAGUGUGGGGAGCAAACAGGAUUAGAUACCCUGGUAGUCCACACCGUAAACGAUGAUUACUAGGUGUGGGGGGUCUGACCCCCUCC